rnacentral:rRNA from 1 species
UACAGAGGGUGCAAGCGUUGUUCGGAAUUAUUGGGCGUAAAGCGCGUGUAGGCGGCUUUGCAAGUCGGGUGUGAAAGCCCUCAGCUCAACUGAGGAAGUGCGCCCCGAAACUGCAGAGCUUGAGUGCCGGAGAGGGUGGCGGAAUUCCCCAAGUAGAGGUGAAAAUUCGUAGAUAUGGGGAGGAACACCGGUGGCGAAGGCGGCCACCUGG